rnacentral:rRNA from 1 species
AGUGAACGCUGGCGGUAGGCCUAACACAUGCCAGUCGAACGGCAGCACAGUAAGAGCUUGCUCUUACGGGUGGCGAGUGGCGGACGGGUGAGGAAUACAUCGGAAUCUACUUUUUCGUGGGGGAUAACGUAGGGAAACUUACGCUAAUACCGCAUACGACCUACGGGUGAAAGCAGGGGAUCUUCGGUCCUUGCGCGAUUGAAUGAGCCGAUGUCGGAUUAGCUAGUUGGCGGGGUAAAGGCCCACCAAGGCGACGAUCCGUAGCUGGUCUGAGAGGAUGAUCAGCCACACUGGAACUGAGACACGGUCCAGACUCCUACGGGAGGCAGCAGUGGGGAAUAUUGGACAAUGGGCGCAAGCCUGAUCCAGCCAUACCGCGUGGGUGAAGAAGGCCUUCGGGUUGUAAAGCCCUUUUGUUGGGAAAGAAAAGCAGCAGGUUAAUACCCCGCUGUUCUGACGGUACCCAAAGAAUAAGCACCGGCUAACUUCGU